rnacentral:rRNA from 1 species
AGCGAACGCUGGCGGCAGGCUUAACACAUGCAAGUCGAGCGCCGUAGCAAUACGGAGCGGCAGACGGGUGAGUAACACGUGGGAACGUACCUUUUGGUUCGGAACAACACAGGGAAACUUGUGCUAAUACCGGAUAAGCCCUUACGGGGAAAGAUUUAUCGCCGAAAGAUCGGCCCGCGUCUGAUUAGCUAGUUGGUGAGGUAACGGCUCACCAAGGCGACGAUCAGUAGCUGGUCUGAGAGGAUGAUCAGCCACACUGGGACUGAGACACGGCCCAGACUCCUACGGGAGGCAGCAGUGGGGAAUAUUGGACAAUGGGCGCAAGCCUGAUCCAGCCAUGCCGCGUGAGUGAUGAAGGCCCUAGGGUUGUAAAGUUCUUUUGUGCGGGAAGAUAAUGACUGUACCGCAAGAAUAAGCCCCGGCUAACUUCGUGCCAGCCGCCGCGGUAACAC